GUGGGGAAUUUUGGACAAUGGGCGAAAGCCUGAUCCAGCCAUGCCGCGUGCAGGAUGAAGGCCUUCGGGUUGUAAACUGCUUUUGUACGGAACGAAAAGACUCCUUCUAAUAAAGGGGGUCCAUGACGGUACCGUAAGAAUAAGCACCGGCUAACUACGUGCCAGCAGCCGCGGUAAGACGUAGGGUGCAAGCGUUAAUCGGAAUUACUGGGCGUAAAGCGUGCGCAGGCGGUUUUGUAAGACAGGUGUGAAAUCCCCGGGCUCAACCUGGGAACUGCACUUGUGACUGCAAGGCUAGAGUGUGUCAGAGGGAGGUGGAAUUCCGCGUGUAGCAGUGAAAUGCGUAGAGAUGCGGAGGAACACCGAUGGCGAAGGCAGCCUCCUGGGAUAACACUGACGCUCAGGCACGAAAGCGUGGGGAGCAAACAGGAUUAGAAACCCUGGUAGUCC
rnacentral:rRNA from 1 species